rnacentral:lncRNA from 1 species
GUCGGGCCGGGAAUAUCUAUCUUGGGGUGUUGCACGCGGCAGAGGCGCAGGGAGUCUAAGUGAGAGUAUUUCAUGCUGACGCCACGGCGGGGAAGGGGAUGCUUCCUGGAAGCGGGGGCUGCGCUGAGGUCCCGGAAGGAGCUGCCUUGGCAAAGUCCACAGGGGCUUCGGGGCCUCCGUCGCCCCUAAACCAGGCCGACGACUGGGCUCCGGGGUCUUCUUGGUUCCCAGUCAGUGGUGGCGACCGGGGUCGGGGGCAUCCGACAGUUCCCGUGAUUUGUUCCGCAGGCAAGAAGAGCGGAAAGAGAAAGACCUGCCCCGGAAAUUACCCGGGAGACCCCAGCGGAAGCCGCAGAGCGCCUGCAGCGAACCCGCGGACUCGGGCGCCCACCUGCGGCGCCCCACCAGGCCGUUGCCCGUCCAAACCAAUACGAAGCCAUCUGUCCUGGGCCCUGUCCCCACGUGUCAGCCACCUGCUAGGACAGCUGACAGGCGGUCGUCCUGCCCUACACGGCCCCUCUAUAAAGCCCCUGAAGUGCGUGCUUGUGAACCAGCCCGAAGAUGCGGGGCGGACUUGCCCUGCGAAGAUCCAAAGAGCUCCUGCCGGGACCAGGCUCUCAUUUCCAAGUCGACAGCCGGCUGGCCUGAGGUUUCCUCCCGUGAUGUUCCCCCGUCGGCCAGGAAGACACCUGCGCUGGGUCCUGUGUGUCACCGCCAGGCACAAGCCAAGCAUCCUCCUGUGGACUCAAAGCCCCGCCCACAGCCUGCCCCGGGAACACAUGGCCAGAGCUCCAAAGUCAGCAUCCAGGCACAGGGGAAGAGGUCUCCCCAGGUCCCCAUGCAGCCUUCCCAGAACCCUCCAAAGAAAGCCAGAUUCAACUUCUUCUAACCCCCCUCCCAGGUGGGUCUCAGUGACCUGGUCUGGGGGUUGUCCCGGUCGCAGCUUCCCCCAGUAUCCAAACAGAUACUUCAAGUGACUGGGAAGAUACCAGUCCUAAUGCCCAGUCUUGAACGCCAGGCUCCACCUGACUCACCUGGUCUGAGCCCCGUUCAGACCUGUGCUGUCCCCUAACCCUGACCACCCAGGCAUGUUCCAGGCCAGCAGGGGCGAGGAUGGGACAUGAGAUGGGACAGGGCGUGGCAGAGCUCCAGGUUUUCCACUGUUCUGUCUCCCUCUGGAGAAGUCUCCAC